rnacentral:misc_RNA from 1 species
CGCAUUCAGAAAAUAGAUCAUUAGAAGUGUUAAACUGGAGCUACAAUAAUUGCCAUCGUCAAAUUAACUUAACUUUCUCGUCUUCAAUUAUUUUUUUAGGCAAAUAGAUACUUUAGGGGUGAGCAUAGAGCAGUUUUAAUUGAAAAAUCAUAUUGAACUGAUUUAAUUGCGAAUUGAAUGGACUGAUUGGACAACCCUGCUUUCAAUAAAAGGAGACUUCGCCUUUUGUUGUUGAAGCAAGUAUUCUUUUUACCUUUUGCUUGUAAUAUUGUGCAAGGGGAAAAGAUUAAAAUAGUUUCUUCACUUGAAUUCAAACUCCAGGAGCGUCUGCCUUUCAUUGCUAACUGCAUUUUUCACCAGUAAUCCAUGCAAGAACAGGCACCUCCUUUAAAAUGAUGGAACCUUUUCCUGUCUCUUACAAUCAACUCUCGUUCAUAAACCUUAGAAAUCAGCUUUGUAGCUGUGUGGCAAUCUUCACAUACUCGCAAGUUCUUCACUAUCCGAAUGGUGGUACGAGCUUUAGUUCUCAUAAUCCCAUAUGCUAUAGCGAGUUUCUCACUGUGCCUGUGCAGGGCAUUUUCUUUUUCUUCUUCAUCUAUGUCAAACAUUGCAUCAGUAGUGUUUCCAGUGUAUCCUACUGGUCUUAUCUUCUUAAGAAUCUCUUCCCACAUUCUUUCUAUCUUCUCUAUUUCUGGGUGUGUUUUGUCUCCUAUGGUAAAAUUAUGAACCUCCCCAUCCAUCUCAAUCUGACUGUAUCCAGGUGGUUUCUUUAUUUUUCUUUCCUUCAUCAUCUGUCUCAUGCUUUCGACAUUCUCCCACUUGUUUGUGCGAGCAUAAAUGUUUGAAAGCAGCACGUAGUAGCCACUAUGUUCUGGUUGUAACUCGAUCAAAAUCUUUCCCACUCUUUCCCCAAUUUCUGCAUUUUUGUAUGUCCCGCAAGCUCUAAGCAAUGCUCCCCAAAUUGGUGCACUAGGCUUCACCGGCAUUUCAAGGGCAAACUUCUCAGCUUCUGCUAACUUCCCUGCUCGGCCUAACAGAUCAACCAUGCACCCAUAGUGUUCCAAUCCAGGCUCAAUCCCAUAGUCUCUUUUCAUGCUUUCAAAUAUCUCCAUCCCUCUUUCAACCAAUCCUCUAUGACUGCAAGCCGAUAAAACUGCAGUAAAGGUGAUGUCUCUUGGGGUUAGCCCACUCUUUAUCAUUUCUGAGAAAUACUGAACUGCUUUCUCUGCAUGACCAUGCAUUGCAAAUCCAGCAAUAAGGGCAGUCCAGCUUAAGGCAUCCCCCUCCGGAAGUUUCUCAAAUACCUGAACAGCUUUAUCAAUACUUCCACAUCUAGCAUACAUAUCAAUUAGGGCAGUACCAAGUAUCAAAUUGAAAGUCAUCUUAUUUCUCACCACAUAAUCAUGAGCUCUUUCUCCCAAUUCAAGGGCACCUAAGUGAGCACAUGAAGAUAUUACACUAACCAUUACCGUCUCAUUUGCUUGAACCCCUUCAGAUUGAAGAACUUGAUACAAUUCUAUUGCCUUGUCAAAUAAAUUGUUCUUGGCAUAACCACUGAUCAUUAUACUCCAUGUAACCAAGUUCUUCUCUGGCAUUCUGUCGAACAGUUUGCGUGCUGACUCAACAUCUCCUGAUUUAUUAUAACCUGCUAUCAUUGAAGUCCAAGAAACAACAUCUAACCGAGACAUUGUUCGAAAGAUAUAGCUUGCAGCCUUUAUAUCCCCAAGUGUAGCAUACAUGUUAACAAGUGAGCUUUGCACAUAAACAUCAUUUUCAAAUCCAUGCCUAAUUACUUGGCCAUGGGCUUGAAUUCCCAUAUCCAAGGACCCCAACUGAGUACAUGACUUGACUAAAAAUGGGCAAGUAAGAUUAUCAGGAAAUAUACCUACCCUUUGCGAUUGGACAUAGAAAUGGAAGGACUGAUCUGGGCUUUUGCUUCCUGAAUAACCCCUGAUAAAUGCAUUGUAAAUAAAGAGAUUGGGGUUUUGGAUUUGGUAAAAGACCUGUAAUGCAUAAUCUAGCAAGUUAUUGUCUAUGCUAAAAGCAAUUAACCGACUAGCUGCAAAUACAUCAAAGAUGCUGUGGGUUCUUAUCAUAUGGGCAUGGAUGAUUUUCAGCUGUAAGAGGGUAGAGCAAGAUUCUAGCAGCAAAAGUUUUGGAUUCUUUAGCUUUAGCGUUCUUGAAACUAAGCUGCUACUGCUACUGCUGCUCAUCUUCAGAAAGUAAAAUAUUCAUGUUUCUGACACCACAAAAGCUGCAUGUUACUUUAAAUUUCCUGCCAACCCUCUAAUUCGUACGUUCUGCUUGUAUAGAAGACUACUGAAAGCGUGGGCCUGGGCUGCUAGAGAAGCUAUGUUAGCAUGAGCAGAAGCCGGGGUGCCCAUGCCUGCCUAUAAGAAGCCAGAACCGUUUGAAUCCAGUCCUG